rnacentral:rRNA from 1 species
AUAGGCAGCCAUAUCCCCCUGCAGCCCAAUACUGCUUGCUCACUGAAGCUAAGCAGGGCUGAGCCUGGUCAGUACCUGGAUGGGAGACCUCCAGGGGAAACUAGGUUGCUGUUGGAA